UUUUUUGAAUCGCUGAGUUCCACAUGGGAACGGGGGAACCAUCAUCGAAAAGUUUUUGAUUUUUCUAGAAACCAAAACUUUUCUAUGGGGUGAAUCUUAAUAAAGAUACUUGUCUUUUUAAGUAGGGUGACUCUUACAUCCGAAUCCGUCAGCUAACCUCGUAAGCGUAUUGAAGAGAUGUU
rnacentral:sRNA from 2 species